rnacentral:lncRNA from 1 species
UUUCUUUGCAGAUUGAGAGGAGCAUGCUUGGUUUGGUUUUGUUUUUGUUCCUUCCCCCCCCCCCUUUACAUCUCGAUGCUGACGGUGGUGACAUGGGGGGAGGAUGCUGUGGCUUGGGUAUCAACUAUUUCUUACAGUCUGGACCCUUUUGGUCUUUUUGAAUGAACGUAAAACCUAGGGGAAGCGCUUGGGACUGGUUGCAUGAUUUCCUGAAUUGCUGUGUGAUAUUCUUCUGACUAGGGCAGCGAGGUCUUGUGCAUGCUGGUUCUGUGUUCUUGCUGCCUUACAGAUUGUUAUAAAGUCAAGCCGUAAGGACACUUGGGAGAAGCAGGAUCUGCCUAUUGUAUCUCCAUCCAGGAUCUCCCCUAACACCCUGUCACAUAGCGAGGCUUUUCCUUCUCUCUUACCCUUUUGGAACCAAGUGUUGAAGGGGUGAGAUGCCUGGGAAACCCGGACCAUCCCUGAGUCCUCAGAAUGAAGAAUCAGAAGGGCUAAGGGUUCCUGGAAGGACAGGAGUGCAGAGUAGCGCAUAUGCAACUUUUAAUUGCUUCUUUCUCCCUCCCCAGUGCGUGUAGGUUUAGAAGCCCAGAUUUCUUGCUCAGGGAAGGAGUUAUGUGGGAGUCUUCUUUUUGGGCAAGGGGACGAGAUGGACUUGACCGUGUUGGCAGGUUUUGGUUCUUCUUUCCGGUGCCUGAAAUGUAGCAGUUUGUGGAUCCCCCCAGCAAGUGCGUUGGCUUGGCUGAAGAGGAAAUAAAAACCGAGCAGGAGGUGGUGGAGGGAAUGGAUAUCUCUACUCGCUCCAAAGAACCUAAGGAAGAUCCUGUCUCUACAGAGAAAACGGCCCCGAAACGGAGGUUCCCCAGCCCUCCACAUUCCUCCAAUGGCCAUUCGCCCCAAGACUCAUCCACGAGCCCC